rnacentral:rRNA from 1 species
AACGAACGCUGGCGGCAGGCCUAACACAUGCAAGUCGAGCGACCUUUCGGGGGAGCGGCGGACGGGUGAGUAACGCGUGGGAAUAUGCCCUUCUCUACGGCAUAGCUUCGGGAAACUGAGAGUAAUACCGUAUACGCCCUUAGGGGGAAAGCGUUAUCGGGGAAGGAUUAGCCCGCGUUGGAUUAGGUAGUUGGUGGGGUAAUGGCCUACCAAGCCGACGAUCCCUAGCUGGUUUGAGAGGAUGAUCAGCCACACUGGGACUGAGACACGGCCCAGACUCCGACGGGAGGCAGCAGUGGGGAAUCUUGGACAAUGGCGGCAACCCUGAUCAAGCCAUGCCGCGUGAGUGAUGAAGGCCUUAUGGUUGUAAAGCUCUUUCAUCUGGGAAGAUAAUGACGGUACCAGCAGAAGAAGCCCCGGCUAACUCCGUGCCAGCCGCCGCGGUAA